UACGUAGGUGGCAAGCGUUGUCCGGAUUUAUUGGGUUUAAAGGGUGUGUAGGCGGUUCUGUAAGUCAGUGUUGAAAUAUCCCGGCUUAACCGGGAGGGUGGCAUUGAUACUGUAGGACUUGAGUAAAGUUGAGGUUGGCGGAAUUGACGGUGUAGCGGUGAAAUGCUUAGAUAUCGUCAAGAACACCUAUUGCGAAGGCAGCUAACUAAGCUUUAACUGACGCUGAGGCACGAAAGUGUGGGGAUCAAACAGG
rnacentral:rRNA from 1 species